rnacentral:rRNA from 1 species
AGAGUUGUGAUCCUGGCUCAGAGCGAACGCUGGCGGCAUGCUUAACACAUGCAAGUCGAGCGGGCGUGAGUAAUACGUGCAGCGGCAGACGGGUGAGUAACGCGUGGGAGCAUUACCUUUUGGUUCGGAACAACACAGGGAAACUUGUGCUAAUACCGGAUAAGCCCUUACGGGGAAAGAUUUAUCGCCGAAAGAUAUUGGCCCGCGUCUGAUUAGCUAGUUGGUGAGGUAACGGGCUCACCCAGGGCCGAACCGAAUCAGGUAAGCCUGGGUUCCUGGAAGAAGGGAAUUGAAUUCCAGGCCCCCACCCAUUUUGGGGGGAACCUUGGAAAGAAACCACCCAGGCCCCCCCCAAAAACCCUCCCCCUAACCGGGGGGAAGGGGGCCAAGCCCAGGNUGGGGGGGGAAAAUUUAUUUUUGGGAAACCAAAUUGGGGGGC